rnacentral:other from 1 species
GUUUGAGAGGAGCAUCCAUUAAAACAAGGAUUGAAAC